rnacentral:rRNA from 1 species
GACGAACGCUGGCGGCGUGCUUAACACAUGCAAGUCGAACGAAGAGCGACGGAAGCUUGCUUCUCUCAAUCUUAGUGGCGAACGGGUGAGUAACGCGUAAUCAACCUGCCCUUCAGAGGGGGACAACAGUUGGAAACGACUGCUAAUACCGCAUACGAUCUAAUCUCGGCAUCGAGGAUGGAUGAAAGGUGGCCUCUACAUGUAAGCUAUCACUGAAGGAGGGGAUUGCGUCUGAUUAGCUAGGUGGAGGGGUAACGGCCCACCAAGGCGAUGAUCAGUAGCCGGUCUGAGAGGAUGAACGGCCACAUUGGGACUGAGACACGGCCCAGACUCCUACGGGAGGCAGCAGUGGGGAAUCUUCCGCAAUAGACGAAAGUCUGACGGAGCAACGCCGCGUGAGUGAUGACGGCCUUCGGGUUGUAAAGCUCGGUUAAUCGGGACGAAAGGCCUUCUUGCGAAUAGGGAGAAGGAUUGACGGUACCGGAAUAGAAAGCCACGGCUAACUACGUG